GGAUGUGAGGGCGAUCUGGCUGCGACAUUUGUCACCCCAUUGAUCGCCAGGGUUGAUUCGGCUGAUCUGGCUGGCUAGGCGGGUGUCCCCUUCCUCCCUCACAGCUCCAUGUGCAUCCCUCCUGAAGCUGCGCACUGGGUUGAAGAGGACGACCAUCCCCACUAGAGGAGGACCAUUCUUCAGUCAAGGGUAUACAAGUAGCUGCGCUCUCCUGCUAGAACCUCCAAACAAGCUCUCAAGAGACAGUUCUUAACCGCUCUGCUAUACAACUACUGACAAUGAGGAUGAUGUUGAUGUUGGUGAUGAUUAUAAUUU
rnacentral:snRNA from 1 species